AAAAGAAAAUUGAUGUGGAGGAUAUGGAUGAUUUCAUUCAUUAGAAAAUUAUUGAAGCGAGUUACCAAAGAUACCACCUUUGUACACUGGUUUGAAGCAGAAACAAAUCUGGAGGUUAAUUGACUGACACCUAUCAGAAAACUACUCUCCUUGCUAAUACCACGAAGGGCGUGGAAUUUUAUCCGACAGAUGUUGGUGCAGGAUU